rnacentral:rRNA from 1 species
AACGAAGGCUGGCGGCAUGCCUAACACAUGCAAGUCGAACGAGACCUUCGGGUCUAGUGGCGCACGGGUGCGUAACGCGUGGGAACCUGCCCUUAGGUUCGGAAUAACUCCCCGAAAGGGGUGCUAAUACCGGAUAAUGUCUUCGGACCAAAGAUUUAUCGCCUUUGGAUGGGCCCGAGUUGGAUUAGCUAGUUGGUAGGGUAAAAGCCUACCAAGGCGACGAUCCAUAGCUGGUCUGAGAGGAUGAUCAGCCACACUGGGACUGAGACACGGCCCAGACUCCUACGGGAGGCAGCAGUGGGGAAUAUUGGACAGUGGGCGAAAGCCUGAUCCAGCAAUGCCGCGUGAGUGAUGAAGGCCUUAGGGUUGUAAAGCUCUUUUACCCGGGAUGAUAAUGACAGUACCGGGAGAAUAAGCUCCGGCUAACUCCGUG